rnacentral:lncRNA from 1 species
GAAAUUAUAUAUAUAUAAUUAUGCUAUAAUUAUAAUUAAAAAAUUAUAAUUUUUUGGUCUUUUUUUUUCUUUUCCAUUUCGUUGAAAUAUUUACAGCAAUGGGGGAGGAGGAGGAGAAGAGAGGAAGGGGUAAGAUGGCCCCCUAGGGAAAGAUCCAAGCCCAGGACCCACUCCCCAGGGAUAUCCAGACCCAAAAUCUGCUCCCCAGAUAGCCGAGCCCACAGGACUGGGAACUGCCCAGAUAUGGCCACCCCUGUGGGCUGGGGGCCCUGUGGGGAGUUGUGCUUCAUCAGGAGUCACCCCAAGGGAGGGGGUCACUGGGUGCACUUGAGGAGGCUGAUGGGCAAGCUUGCUAGGGAGGCAAGGACGAAGAGCAGAGGGAAGGAGCUUCAAAGUUCCACCUUUAAACCAGCAGCCACAACCGCCCAUUCCUCUUGCCCUGGAGCUUUCUCUUGGGCCAGAGGCCCCAGUCUCCAGGAGCAGCGAACUGUCUUCCAGGAGGACCUGCCUGUCUGCUCCCACUGCUCCUUCCUGUUGUAGCUGGCAGCACUUCCAGCUGCAGAGAGAGGAGCAGCUGACAGGUUCCACUCAGUAGGCCCCUUGACCCAGGGAAAGCAAAGCCCUCAUUUCCCUCCAGGGGUCAGGAAAGUGGGGGAGAGGGGGGACGUAAAGAGUGGGCUGCACCCCCAGGGAAACCAAAGCCCUCAUUUCCCUCCAGGGGUCAGGAAAGUGGGGGAGAGGGGGAAAGUAAAGAGUGGGCUGCACCCAUCCAAUUUCUCCUUCCUUACUCCCUUGGGGACCUCUUGGCUCCUCCUUACUGCAUGUGUGUGUGUGUGUGUGUAUAUAUAUAUAUAUAUAUAUCAUGGGUAGUUUAAUGAUUUAUUAGCAAAUGAAUACACAUGGAACUCCUCCUCAGAUUCAGAAAUGGAUCAUUUAUAGCCUCUCAGAAUUCUUGUUCCCAUUCAUAACUUCAUCACUUCCCCAGAGGUAACCACUAUUACGACUUUUGCAAUAAGCAUGAAUUUGCUUUUCUAUAUAUACUUUUAACCACAUGUAUACAUCCCUAAAAUAAGAGUCUACUUUUCCUUGUCCAGAACUUUAUGUGACUAAAAUCUUAUGUGUUAUUUGGAUCUUGCUUUUUUUUUAAAGAUUUUAUUUAUUCAUGAGAAACACACACAGAGAGAGAGGCAGAGACACGGGCAGAGGGAGAAACAGGCUCCAUGCAGGGAGCCCGAUGUGGGACUGGAUCCUGGAACCCCAGGAUCAUACCCUGGGCUGAAGCCGAGGCUAAAC